GUCCCUAUCGUCUAGAGGCCUAGGACACCGGGUUUUCAUCCCGGCAACGGGGGUUCGAAUCCCCCUGGGGAUGCCA
rnacentral:tRNA from 1 species